AACGAACGCUGGCGGCAGGCUUAACACAUGCAAGUCGAACGCACCGCAAGGUGAGUGGCAGACGGGUGAGUAACACGUGGGGAUCUGCCUAAUGGUACGGAAUAGCUCCGGGAAACUGGAAUUAAUACCGUAUGUGCCCUUCGGGGGAAAGAUUUAUCGCCAUUGGAUGAACCCGCGUCGGAUUAGCUAGUUGGUGAGGUAAAGGCUCACCAAGGCGACGAUCCGUAGCUGGUCUGAGAGGAUGAUCAGCCACACUGGGACUGAGACACGGCCCAGACUCCUACGGGAGGCAGCAGUGGGGAAUAUUGGACAAUGGGCGCAAGCCUGAUCCAGCCAUGCCGCGUGAGUGAUGAAGGCCUUAGGGUUGUAAAGCUCUUUCGCCGACGAAGAUAAUGACGGUAGUCGGAGAAGAAGCCCCGGCUAACUUCGUGCCAGCCGCCGCAGUAAGAC
rnacentral:rRNA from 1 species